rnacentral:rRNA from 1 species
GACGAACGCUGGCGGCGCGCCUAACACAUGCAAGUCGAGCGAUGAAAUUUUAACCGAUCUCUUCGGAGAGAAGAUAAAAUGGAUUAGCGGCGGACGGGUGAGUAACACGUGAGAAACCUGCCUUUCACAAGGGGAUAGCCUCGGGAAACCGGGAUUAAUACCCUAUGACACAUUUCCUUCGCAUGGAAGAAAUGUUAAAACUCCGGUGGUGAAAGAUGGUCUCGCGUCUGAUUAGCUAGUUGGUGGGGUAACGGCCCACCAAGGCCAUGAUCAGUAACCGGCCUGAGAGGGUGAACGGUCACAUUGGAACUGAGACACGGUCCAAACUCCUACGGGAGGCAGCAGUGGGGAAUAUUGCACAAUGGAGGAAACUCUGAUGCAGCGACGCCGCGUGAGCGAUGAAGGCUUUCGAGUCGUAAAGCUCUGUCCUAUGGGAAGAUAAUGACGGUACCAUAGGAGGAAGCCCCGGCUAACUACGUG